rnacentral:rRNA from 1 species
UACGAAGGGUGCAAGCGUUACUCGGAAUUACUGGGCGUAAAGCGUGCGUAGGGGGUUCGUUAAGUCUGAUGUGAAAGCCCUGGGCUCAACCUGGGAAUGGCAUUGGAAACUGGCGACCUAGAGUGCGGUAGAGGGUAGUGGAAUUCCCGGUGUAGCAGUGAAAUGCGUAGAGAUCGGGAGGAACAUCCGUGGCGAAGGCGACUACCUGGACCAGCACUGACACUGAGGCACGAAAGCGUGGGGAGCAAACAGG